UACAGAGGGUGCGAGCGUUAAUCGGAAUUACUGGGCGUAAAGCGUGCGUAGACGGUUAUUUAAGUCGGGUGUGAAAGCCCCGGGCUCAACCUGGGAAUUGCAUUCGAGACUGAAUAGCUAGGGUACGGUAGAGGGAAGUGGAAUUUACGGUGUAGCGGUGAAAUGCGUAGAUAUCGUAAGGAAGACCAGUGGCGAAGGCGGGUCUCUGGACAGUUCCUGACGCUGAGGCACGAAGGUCAGGGGAGCAAACGGG
rnacentral:rRNA from 1 species